GAGUUUGAUCGUGGCUCAGGACGAACGCUGGCGGCGUGCCUAACACAUGCAAGUCGAACGAGUCCAGACUUCGGUCUGAGGCGAGUGGCGGACGGGUGAGUAACACGUGAGCAAUCUAUCUCUGUGCGGGGGACAACCCGGGGAAACCCGGGCUAAUACCGCAUGGUCAGUUGGAAGGAUCUUCCGAUUGGGAAAGGUGGCCUCUUUACAAUGCUGCCGUGCAGGGAGGAGCUCGCGGGCUAUCAGCUAGCUGGUGCGGUAAUGGCGCACCAGGGCGACGACGGCUACGGGGUCUGAGAGGACGACCCCGCACAUUGGAACUGAGACACGGUCCAGACUCCUACGGGAGGCAGCAGUGGGGAAUUUUGGGCAAUGGCCGAGAGGCUGACCCAGCGACGCCGCGUGUGGGAGGAAGCCCUUCGGGGUGUAACCACUGUCGGGAGGGACGAACGAGGGAAGUGGGAAUACUGCUUCUCUGUGACGGUACCUUCAAAGGAAGCGCCGGCUAACUCUGUGCCAGCAGCC
rnacentral:rRNA from 1 species